AUCUCUGGGUUGGAGUGUCCUCUCUGGGUCAGUGGACCCAAGUGUGAUCCAUCAGUGGCAGAGUCAGUCUGCCAGUGUAGUCCUGUGUUUGUUGAGGGAAGAUGCUUGUCCGCCGACCUUGUGGUUCUAGACUUGACAGAUUUUGACGUCAUUCUAGGGAUGGACUGGUUAUCUACCCAUGGUGCUACCUUGGACUGCAGGGACAAGGUAGUCAGGUUCAGAGGUCAGGAUGGGUCAGAGGUAGUCUUUAGAGGAGACAGGAGGGGUACACCUAGAGGUCUGAUAUCAGCUCUUCAGGCUCGUAGGUUGCUUAGGAGGGG
rnacentral:lncRNA from 1 species